AUCACAUUUUUAAUUUAUUUGAUUCAAUAUUAAUUACGAGAUAAUUAAUUUAAAGAUAAAUUAUACGUUUCUUUCUCAUAGAUCUAACUUAUUUUAAAGAUUAUCACACAAGAGAGCUUGAAUAAUAAUAAUACGUUAUAAAGUUUAUCUGCUUUUUAUAAAAAAUGUUCCGCACUCUUCAAGAAAAGUUUUCAGAAACGUUUUCACGUUUUAUAUUACGUGAGACGCACUUUAAUUAACAUUAUCCAAGGCUGUUACAACAAAGUCACGGAAGCACAUAUUCAAACAAACGAGCGAGUUGCGAGCGGCGGAAAACGCACUUUCAGACUGAUGAUUUCCAAGUUUGAUCGGGGAACUUUAUAAAGCGACGAUUCCACCCACAGGAUGCUGCGGCCUAGAGAUUAACUGGCAAGCUCGCGUAAAGGAAACAGGAAAGGGGCGGAUAGACCAAGAUAUGGAGAUAUCGAGACCGGAAUAUUUCACCGAUCAGCUUUCAACGGUCGCAGCAGAUUUCAUCCGAUUCAUUAUCCAACCUUUGACCUACAACGUCUAUUUUUUUGUAUGCUCUUCCACCCAUUGGUCUCUAUUGAACGAGCCGAGGUUCUCCCUAGGCGAUAAAUACAGCGAGACGUUCUCUAGAAAUCGCGCGCAUCUGUCCCACGUGUGUUUCGUGUCAGCAAAGUGCGAUCUGAAUUAGUUUUGUCUUUAAAAUACCAUGAGUGACCGUUUGCAACUGACCAGAGGAUAAAAGCGAGGUCGAGUGAGACGAGACGCGAGGAACAGCCGCAAAUGAGCUAUGUAACAUGCGGGAGAUGGGACACACUUGUGUGUUCCGAGACAAAAAAUUACGCAGCAUCUGGAACCUCGGGAUAGAAGGCGAUCCGCUGUAAAAACUAUUUGUACACCCCGUACGCGUGGGAGCCACGAUCUCCCUUGGUUAACUUUUAAAAAUUUCGUUUCGUCUUCUUAUCCGUCCUGUCUCGAGAUAUGCUUUCCCACGUCGUUCCUUUUCGACAAUUGCGACAGUAUUCGUUAAGAGCCUCCUGCCCCAAGUCUUUGCCGAAUCCGGACAUCUUGAAACCACCGAACGGCGCCGCCA